rnacentral:pre_miRNA from 1 species
UCGUCAGGAUUUUGAGAUAUGUUUGAUAUUCUUGGUUGUGAAGCUUAUAAUCAACCAAGAAUCAGACAUAUACCCAAGAUUAUGACAC